UACAGAGGUGGCAAGCGUUAUCCGGAAUUACUGGGCGUAAAGCGCGCGUAGGUGGUUUUGUUAAGUUGGAUGUGAAAUCCCCGGGCUCAACCUGGGAACUGCAUCCAAAACUGGCAAGCUAGAGUAUGGUAGAGGGUGGUGGAAUUUCCUGUGUAGCGGUGAAAUGCGUAGAUAUAGGAAGGAACACCAGUGGCGAAGGCGACCACCUGGACUGAUACUGACACUGAGGUGCGAAAGCGUGGGGAGCAAACAGG
rnacentral:rRNA from 1 species